UACAGAGGUCUCAAGCGUUGUCCGGAUUCAUUGGGCGUAAAGAGCUCGUAGGCGGUUUGUCGCGUCUGCUGUGAAAACCUAAGGCUCAACCUUGGGCUUGCAGUGGGUACGGGCAGACUAGAGUGCGGUAGGGGUGACUGGAAUUCCUGGUGUAGCGGUGGAAUGCGCAGAUAUCAGGAGGAACACCGAUGGCGAAGGCAGGUCACUGGGCCGCAACUGACGCUGGAGGAGC
rnacentral:rRNA from 1 species